rnacentral:lncRNA from 1 species
AAUAUUUUGUUAGUAGCGUUUUCGUUAUGUGAUAUGAGAAUACUUGUUAAGCCAUACAAAACAUAAUUCAAUGACAUUAAUGCAGAUUAGUCAAUAAAAAAACCAAAAAAUGAUAAAAAGAGGCAUUCAAAACCAUAUGUCGAGAAAAAAACCUAAGAAAAACAUUUUUUGAACGAACAAGAGAAACAAACAAACCAAACGCUAUACAAAAAACUAAAGAUUGAGAGAGAAAUCAAAAGAAUAAAAAAAAACGGAGAUGCUCCCCAGGACUCUUUCGCAAAACUGAAUUAACUAUAUGGGCAAACGAUAUUUUAACAAUAAUUUAUUAUUUCAUCUCAUUAUGUUUUGAAGUUAUGAAAGUUCAAUUGUUCACCAUUAAAACAUUUUCUUUACAUGUUUUCCUGUAAAACAUAUUGAUGCCUGACAUUAUUUCAAAGAAUAAUGGAAUUGUUUUAUUGUCUUCUUAACCACUUGAGAUGGAAUUUGUUUAAACAUAUAUAAUUAUCUGUUUCUUUCUCUCUCUCUCUGGGCGUAUUAUGGGUUGGUGCUACUUCAUGACGGUCAGCUCCGGGGAAAUACUGACACUUCGUUAAAAAACUGACAAUUCUAGAUACUAAGGACUGAAGUCGACCGCAUCUGCCGCGUAAGUUUAGUGUUAACAGCGUUUUGAUACAGUAGUUUGACAACGUAGACAACUCCAGCACGGAAGCCUCUUAGUAUAGGCGAUACUAUACAGAUCAGGAAUAUAAAUGUAUUUUUAUAAAUAAUAUACAGUACAUGUAUAUCAAUAACUAAAAAAAAAAAACACAAAAAAAAAACCGAAUGAAAUCUAUAAAUGUUUUUGAAUAGUCAAAGUGGUAUAAUUCUAGUUCAUUAAAAAAAAUGCACGAUACAAAAAAUUGAUGCACUAUUAUAUUAAUUAUGGCUGUAAUAUAUCUCAUUUCACGUCCAUCUUAGAAUGUACAAUUUAUCUAACAAUAGAUUUUUCCAGAUUUCUCUUAGUUUAUGAACAGAGGUGUAUGACUUAGCUUUGUACGGAAAAAAAUUGAUUUAGAAAAAUAUAAGUAAAAUGUCGGUACAAACGACCAACAUUUUUUCCAUUACUUCUACAUUUGAAAAUGCCUGAUUGAAGUCAGGAACAUGGCAUUUGUUGUCCAUUCGUUUGAUGUGUUUUAUCAUUUGAUUUUGCCAUUGGAUUAGGGACUUUCCGUUUUGAAUUUUCCUCGGAAUUCAGUAUUUUUGUGAUUUUACUUUUUUCAUUGCUCACUUACAAUAUAGACGAAACCAAUAAACAAACCAUAAGCUUAGAUGUGCAAAUAUCACUGACAAAAAUAAGGAAAUAGGUAGACAAUGAACCCACAGCAUACUUGUCCUAUAAAUAACUGUUUUACUCGUUUGGUCGUACUAUGUAAACACAUAUCAAUAUUAUUGUGGUCAGAAAAGAUAUGUUAAUCGGUUUAAUGACCUUCUUUUCGUCAAAACUUGACACAUAAUGACCCUUUAUUUAUCAAACUUAUGCGUACUUAAACAACCGGGAGGUGUAAACAACUUUUUUGAUAGCCCACAUGCUUCUUAGGUUCAUUUGAAACCACAAUCGUAUUCAUUAUACGAAAAUAACAAACAUGGUUAUGUAAGGUUGUAAAAGUACAGAUGUAUUCAUAUGUAUAUAUAGAUAUAAAUUUAUAUUUAUAGAAGUACGUUGCCGUAAAUAGUGAUUUAUGAUUCACCAAACAUAGAAAUUUUAUAAAAAAUGUAUUGUGUUAUAGGUAAACUAUAAUUUGACUUUAAAUUUUGUAACAGUAAAAUUACUUUUAAUUAUUUAUUUUUCUUAAAAUUUUACUCAUCUAAAAUACUUUUAAUUUGUUAUGGCCCAGAUACAUGCUUAUAAUUUUUAAUGAUACCGUUCUAAAAGUUAUCAAAAUAUUACAAUAAUUAGUUUUUUUUUUUAAUUUUCAUUCAGCAAGAAUUUAAGUAUGUAGGUUUUACCGUAACCACCAGUAGUUUCACAAUAAUAUAUCACCCAAACUUAUUUGGUUUCUGAGUUCGAGAUUUAAAUUCAUUUUUGACUUGUAUUAUACAUCUAUUGGGCGAUGAUCACAUCUGAUGGAUAUAAUUACAGGAUCUAUCGUUUUUAAUGAUGCAGUAUGUAAUAUAUCUGAUCAAUUAAUCAGUAUCAUAACAUUAUGCUCAUAGGAAGCCAC